rnacentral:pre_miRNA from 1 species
GUCAUACUUCCUCCGUCCCAAAAUUCUUGUUUUAGAUACGGAUUUAUCUAAUCAUAUUUUAGAGUUAAAUACAUUCAUAUCUAGACAAAUGCUACUGAAUAAGACAGGAAUUUUGGGACGGAGGUAAUAGAUA